CAAAUUUCGUAUAUCUACUAUAACAUGCGCAGAUAUCAACAAUCAUCUAGGUAUAAUAAACAUACAACAUAAUAGAAUAGAGGAACAAAAAGAACGAACUCUUGAAGCGAAGGCGAAGAUGUCUCGAAGAACCUCGGGAGUCCGGUGAAAGCUUUGGCGGAGGUAGUGGCUUCAGAGUAACGGUAUCCUCCAGGGUCCUCCCUUCCAAUGAUUGGAUGUCUCUUAUAUAGAGUGAAAAUGGGUGGUCCUUGAAUCAUGAGCUGGCAGAGGUGAAAGGAAUCAUUCCGUUAGAAUUGGAUUUCUCAGAGAUUUGGUGGGGACCAGGGCGAUUGUCACAGGUGAACCAACUUUGGAUGCUUAUGAAGGACAUGGAUUCUUAACAGUGCCAAUCUAUGCUUUAUCUCUCACGCAAAUCCAAACACCCUUGCUGUGAGGUCGU